GGAGUUCAAAUGGGUCAGCAAAGACUCCAGAGGGAAGUCUCUCUACAACUAUAACCUUACAAAAGUGAGUGGGUAGCUGAUUUAUUGAUUCUGGCUGGAAGUUAAGUCUGAUCAUUGAAUACAGAUGACGAUGAGAACCUUCACCAGUCAAAAGGCGAUUGGUAACUGACAGUCUUAAAAAAGCAUUCAGAUUAUCUGGCAGCAAUUCACAUGAGUGGGGAAGUUCAUCUACUAAGAAAUCUUGAAAUUUUGAUUCGACGAAGCUCUCAUAUUUUUCAAAAUAAGAUUUCACAAUGUAU
rnacentral:misc_RNA from 1 species